GAACGGGUAGGAAAGAGCUAAUUUUGGUUUUGCCCCAGUUACUGCGAGUUGGAGCAGGCAACAGCUCAAAUUUGAAAUCUGGCCCCCAUGACCGAGUUGUAAUUUGGAAAGGAAGGUUUUGGUGAGGCACCUACCCAGUCCCCUGGAAUGGGGCGCCCUCCAGGGUGAGAGCCCCGGAUGGUAGGACCCCGAACCCCUGUAAAGCUCCUUUGAAGAGUCUAGUAGUUUGGGAAUGCAGCUCUAAAUGGGAGGUAAAUUUUUUCUAAAACUAAAUACCGUCCCGAGACCGAUAGCGCACAAGUAGAGUGAUUGAAAGAUGAAAAACACUUUGAAAAGAGGGUUAAAAAGUACGUGAAAUUGUUGAAAGGGAAACGCUUGUGACCAGACUUUCGCCGGGCGGAUCAUCCCCCGUUCUCGCUGGUGCCCUCCCCCCGGGUCACGGCAGCAUCGGUUUUCGCCGGGGGACAAAGGCAUCGGGAACGUGGCUCCUUUUGGGAGUGUUAUAGCCCGUUGUUGUAAUACCACGGAGGGGACCGACGACCGCGCUUCGGCAAGGAUGAUGGCGGAAUGGUCAUCAUCGACCCGUCUUGUAAAACGGACCCCGGGAGGCGAGCAUUAUUGCUGAGUGGUUUUGUGGGUUGAAACCGCACGCCCCCAUGAAAGUGAACAUAGGUGAUAGCUUUCUGCGCCUUCUUUGACCAGAUCCUGAUGUUUUUCUAAGGAUGUAG
rnacentral:rRNA from 1 species